GAGGUUGGUUUAGAGCUCCUUGAAGUCCAAAAGAAGGCCUUACUAGGGUAUAAUACCGCUGCUGAUAUAUGGUUAACCUGAGUCCUAUCAUUCCAUUUCAUCCAUGAUAGGCCUUUGGAUUUGCAUAUCUCAGGAGCUGUCAUUUGCCCUUUUUUGGUUUGGUCAUUUUUUGGAUUGAAGGGAGCUCUACACCCUUCUCUC
rnacentral:pre_miRNA from 1 species